CCAUUGCAUUAAUAAUAUAAUUUUAAUACAAGUGUGUUCUGAUAUGUCUAAUAGACACUAAUGUAUAAAUCAAAAUGAAAGAUGAGUCUUGAACGAGCUCCAUCUUCCUUAAUCCUUGCAUCGGUACCUGUCUAUGAUGACCUGAGGAUACAAGUAAUUUUGAAAGAGAGUAUGAGCUUUGAAGCUGGUGAGAUCAUAAGUAUUUUAGUGUCUUAAUUUGUAUGUAAAUACUUAUAUGUAUUUGAAAUGUAAGUAUUUGUAUGUAUACGAAUUGUAAGUAUUGAAAAUGUAAAUGAACUGUAUGUAUGAAAAUGUUUGUAAAACAACUAUAAACGAUUGAAAAGUCCUAUAAAUCCCUAUGAUUCCUAUUAGUAACAAAAGGAGUCUUCUACCAAGACUUUAGCUGCUCUGAAUGUAGUCUUCUACCAAGACCUAACUGUUCUGAAUGUAGUCUUUUACUAAGACUUUACUGCUCUGAAUGUAGUCUUCUACCAAGACUUAACUGUAUUAGUAUUACCCUUUGGAACAAGGGCAACUAACAAUGUUAACUGAAGACAUCCGUAGAUGUACAUUUACCUCUGUUGCUAACAGCUGGGUAUAGGAAUAGUCAGUCCCAAAAAGUAUACUUGUAAUGGUAUCAACCGUUGACAUCCGUGGAUGUGCUUUUACCUCUGUAGCUAACAAAGAUUCUAAGAAUGGUCACUCCCGCAACGUAUCCUUUGGUACUAGGAUAUUAAAUCCAAUCUAUCUCGUCAAUUAUGUGAUUGAAUCACAAGAUAAAGAUAAGAAUUACGAUUAUAUACCCGAAUCUAUACAUAUAAAAUGUACUAGUAAUCCUGGUAAGUAUACUCAUGUAAAUGUGAUCAUGUGACCAUAUCUAUUGUAAUAGUAUGGUAAUGUACUGUAAUGUUCUAGUUGUGGUGUACCUUCUCUCUAUCUAGCAAGUAUAGUAAUGUAUUGUAAUGUUCUAGUUGUAGUGUACGUGCUCUCUAUAUAGCAAGUAUAGUAAUGUACUGUAAUGUUCUCGCUGUAGUGUAUGUGCUCUCUAUCUAGCAAGUAUAGUAAUGUACUAUAAUGUUCUAGUUGUAGUGUACAUGCUCUAUAUCUAGCAAGUAUAGUAAUGUACUAUAAUGUUCUAGCAAGUAUUGUCUCAUGAAUGAACUGACUCAUUGUAUAGUAUCGCGUUCUAGUAAUAGUUCUAGUAUCUUUCUAAACUACCCAUAUGGUAGUUUACUAGUAAUCUAACUGGGAUGUAUGAACAUGGAUGUAUACCCUUGCUACCCAAAGGCAUUGGAUGAAUUGGAAGGACCUUUUAUGACUAUAUAUGUUCACAUGAUAUAUAACUAAUAUUUAAACGACCUUCGGACGAGUACCCGAUAUCCUAUCAGACCACAUCCAAAUCGAGGAAAAGAAAACAAGGUGGAUAGCCUUCCUAAGCAUUUUAAACAUUACUUAUAUAACUAUACAUAUAGAGGCAUGCAAUUUAUAAUAUAAAAGCAUAAAAUAAGUUUUGUAAAACCUUUGAACAUAAUUAUUAUAUAAUAAAAGAUCAACUUGAUUUCAAUUUAUAAAACGUUAUGAAGGCAUGGGUUUGAUAAAAACAACUUUAGUAUAAGGAAACAUUUGUUUGAAUCACAAUUGUAAGUAAGUUUGAAAUAAAACAUACGGAGUAAAAUGAACAGUGUAAUAAGGAGUUUUAAAGACAUAAAGUGUUUAUGAAAAACAUUUGAAGUAAACUGUUUCAUAAAACGGCUAAUGAGUAGCCAACCAUUGGAAUGUUGCUUAUUAAUCACAUGUGAUUAAUAUAAUAACUAGCAUUAUUCUACUUGUAUCCCCCCCCAUAUAACAUUUGAAAAUUGUUAAAACAUUGAUUAAGGGGUAUGAACUCACCAGUAGUGAGUUGUUCUGAUGAAAAUGUUGGAUCAGUUGCUAAGUAUCAAGUGGUGACUUGAGUACACACGCGAAUCCUAUUUAGCAUAUAUUGGCACAUAUAUGAAUAUAAUUAGUGUUAUGAACAACUAAUUAAUGAAUUGGGACCACCUUAGGGACUAGUGAACACUUAUAUUGAAGUGUUACAACCAUAAAUGAUUGUACGAAGGGUUAAAAGGCUAAAUGAGGGAGUGUAUGGCCAAAAUACACACUAUAUGUGUGUGUGCGGCCAGGUGUGCGACCAGCGUGCUGCCAGCAAGUGUGUGUGGCCUGGUGUGCUGCCAAAAGCGUGUGGUGCCAAAAAAAUGGUGUUCUUGGUGUUCUUGGUGUUCUUGGUGAAAGAUGUUACCCUUCCGGAUGAUACUUGAGAGGAUUUUCGAGUCCUAGCUUUGCAAGAGUGUAAGAAAUGAUCAAAAGGACUAAGGAUAGUACUUAUAGGAGGGUCCGUGCGGUUGGAGGUGUGUGUGGUUGGCCUGUGUGCGGCUGGCUGGCCGCACACAGCAGGUUUGGUGUGUUCGGCCCGUUUUUCUAAUGCUACACCCAAUCUAAUCCAUCCUCCGACACGUAACUCAAAUAUACUAAGCUUUAAGCACUUUUAAGAACUCUUUUAGACCCAAAAGUUCAUUAUAAAAUAUCAAAAUGAAGCUAAAUUUAAUUAUAAUGACGAAUGUAAGUUAGAAAUUUCGGGUUAUCACAUCAUCCCCCUGUUAGAGGGAAUUUCGUCCCGAAAUUGUAAUUUAGGUAAGAAAGUAGGUACGAAUGAUCGAGUCAUGAGGUGGGGAACUUCCUAAUUGAUUUUUUCUCGCGCUACUAAGUGAAAUCGAGUCCUCGGUCGGUAUCCCAACGAACCUUCAGUAACGUGCGGCGACGUUGCUUCGUCCGCUUGACCUCUCGGUCGAGGGUCACCACAGUUCUAGUACGAAGGCGAGGAUCUUGUUAAUCUCGACCUCGUCGAGUGGCUUACGAGAGUCCUAACAGAAAGGUACUAUUUCAAGAUUGAGACGCGAAGGGUAAAAUGUACGUUACCGAGUUCGCGGAGUAGGUUUAGUCUGUGAGGUACAAGACCGAUUCUGGUAAGAAUCACGGAGGUCCUGACUAACUUGGAUUUAGCUUUCCACAUGAAGCGAAGCGCAUUAGGCCAUUCCUAGUAGUGAGUUUUCCUAAACAACUUGGUCUCUCACUUGGAAUCUCCAAGGUUUCUUUUUCUCGUUUAACUUCCCAGUCGAGGGCCACCCCUUGCUGUGUCAAAGUCGUAAAGGUUUCUCUGAUUUGCGAGGAGUUCUGGAUGAACUAUGACAGUAGGUCUGAAAGACCUAGAAUUUGGCGAAUGACUAUCGGCGUCUCUGAUGUCGACCAAUUCUCAACAGUUUUGACAAAUUGUAUGAGUACUCAAAAUUUCCCACAUCACUAACAGUGUGUCAUAGGAACCUCACUCUACAAUUUCAAAACUUGUGCUUAGAGAACUUCGCGAAAGUUCUUCCGAAGGUAAUGUUUCCAUGUAUUUUCUUCUCACUACGAGGAUUGAUAAGUAAGUCAUUACAUGGAGAAAUGACGAACAGAUUUAAGUAGGAAAGACGUAGCCUACUCAUUAGUUCAUGAAAACUAUGGGCGUAUUGGUCCUAUCCGAAGGGUAUCACUACGGACUCAAAGUGUCUGCAUCGAGUUCGGAAGAUAGUCUUCCGGACAUCGUACCCUAACACUCGAACUGGUGAUAUUCGGAUCUCAGACCCGUUUCAUUUAUGCGAGGCAGAGAUAACGAUUUCUAAGGAAAAUCUUGAUGGAGUCCUCGAUAUCCGAGGCACAUACGAUGCAAUCCGUCGAUCUCUGGAAGAGUAAGACUUGGGUUCUCCAGGGUGAGAAACCUAGUCUUCUAAUUCUCUUUCUGUGUAGUACGCUAAGUUUUCCAGGCUGUCCUUGUAUCUCUGUAGGUGUUUAGGCUGUAGGGAAAUAUGUUUACAGAAGUCGUACUGGGUUCUAAGUUUGUUCACAUGAUGAUGUGAUUACUCGUAGUCUUGAGCAGUUCUCCGUCCUGAAGUUCAUAUUAGAAUUAAUACAUGGUUUCACAAUCACAAUUUUGUGUAUACGAGUCGUAUAUAAUUAAUAUUGAAAAGGUAGUCGAAUAACUGAUUCUUCUUUAAGCUCACAUCCUUCUGAGGAAAAAGAAUUUAAAGUCGAAUCAUCAAUUCUAAACCUAUAGAAUCUUGAUUAUAUAUCACUCUUAUAUAUACAUUCCUAAGUGAUAGAUCGACCGUAUGAAUCCUUGGAUUUAACUUGACGUACUGCACGAGGGGUACUUCGGGGAUUUCUUCGGAAAAGGAAAUAACUAAGAGGUACUCCUGGCAUGAGUACUUCGGUGUUCUGAUAUGACGGUUUCGCUAAAAAGACAUUUACCGAUAAAGAGAUGUACGCAUGAAGCUGUUUUUUGUGAGGAAUCAAAUUGAAUCGAGUCGUAUGAUAAUGUCGGAAUCAUACUGAAACUUAAUGACAUUAGAUUUGAACAUAAGACAUUUACAGACAAAACACAACCGUGCAACCAUGAACAGAGUUAUAGUACUUUAGAUUUACUACAAGACCAUUGCUGCGAAUAAGGUAUAUUACAAAAGACAAGUAUACGCAGCAUGAGCAUCCUUAUACUGACAGGAUCUCACAAAAAGGUAAGACUCUAGUUGCACUAGUUCUGGAGAGUUUGUAAGUCUGUUACAACAACACGCCUAAAUUACAUCAACGAGGGUUCCGAAGUAGGCUCUCUGGUAGCUGUGAUCUUGAGAAACCUCCCAUCUGCGCCAGAUUUAUUUGCUAUAGGGCAAUCCUUCUUGAAGUGCCCUAUCUCACCGCAUUGGUGGCAUGAAUGGCUAGUACUUGCAUUGGUGACGAGAUUGCGGUGUUUAUCCAGUGUUAUGUGGACACGAGUGCCUUCCUCAUUACUCCACUUUGAAAAUUGCUUCCUAAAGCGUUCUGCCAGAGUUGCCACCGGUGGUUGUGGCAUGGCAAGUCUUUGGGCUCUCUUGUACUCCUUCAGGGCUUUACGAUAUCGUCUCUUCCUUUCGGUCUUUAGGCUUCGCAUGUACAUGACUGUUGCCACUUGUUGUUUUCCCGGUUUGGUACAACCAUCGGAACUCUCGGCCCCAUUGUCAGUCUUGCUUGUGUUGCCUGAGUUGAUGUGUGUAAGGAAAGUUGUCACAGCAGCUGCUACUGCAGCUUGUAAUGUAGCAGCGUCAAUAUGGAGGAUGGGGGUUUCGUUGGUCGGCUGAUCGUUUUUGGAUGGCGACAUGAUUCCGUAACACAAAAGACAAGGAUUUUGUGAGCGAUUCUGGUUCACCCUAGGUGUAGUUCGACUGUUAUGUAAAGAAUAGAAUUAUGUUUUCGAAAAUUUGACCUACAUCCCUAUGAUGCAGUCCUAGUACUGAGUGGAGGUGUGUUUAUGAAGGGGUUGACCUACAUCCCUAUGAUGCAGUCCUAGUAACGGGUGGAAGUAAGUUCGUAGAAUGAUCUCAAGACGUUUGUCGUUCAAGCCGAGGUAUCGUGGGUUGGUGAAUAACAAGAUCCAACCACUAAAAGAGACUUGGAAAUGUCUCCGGAGCUAAAUUACUAUAGUCUAAUGACUUGACUAAAGCAUGUCUGAGAUAGACUCAAAUCAAAGAAUGAUAAGAGUACUUGGAUAAAGAAUGACACAGAAGUUAGCCGACUGUCAAAAUCUUUGAUAUUCAUGACGUAAAAGUUCGGGAAAAUAACCUUGUAAAGGUCUUACAUCAUAUCCAGAGAAGAUAGUUCUUGACAGCAUAAGGACCUAACCUAAAGUACUUACAGUACAAGGUAAUUUCAUAGAAAAUGCCUCAUCGAGCAAAGACAGAAAACUAUUACUUUCUAACAAGGAAAGUAAGGUAAAGAAUCUACUACUGACGACGGUCGUCCCUCAGGUGAACUCUCAAUUCAGCCAGUUGACGUUCUACAUCAAGUAUGUGUCUUUCAUACACCCUCUGGCGUACUCGGCGUUCUAUGACUUCGGCUCGUGAUUCUGCCAGUGCGUGAAGUAGGGUUUCAUGGUUUCUCUCUGAUCUCUCGCGAGCAUCUUCUAGACGUAUGGUGCGGAGGGUAUGCAUUCUCGCAUCAGCGACAACUUCAGUAAUCUGAUGUAGGGUUGUCCUGCCUUGAAUCUCAUUUUGCGCCACUCUGCGGACAAAGAUUGUCAAGGUUCUGUCUACUGAGCCCCCAUUGCUUAGGUCAUAAAAGCUUUGGUCACCACUAAAUGGCAUGGGCUGAUCUUGUCCUUGGCUCCAUGUUUCCAAGCAUUCCACCCACUCAGGCGUCGGGCCAUGAAAAGCAGGACCAGGGUUAGGAAUUGGAAAGCGAGCUACUUGGGGUAGGUUCUCAACCUCUGUUUCGGAAUUAGAAUCGUCCGAAGGUCUUCAUCAUGGUGAUCAUUCAAAGGGAUUGGAUGAUCAUUCUNUGCGCCACUCUGCGGACAAAGAUUGUCAAGGUUCUGUCUACUGAGCCCCCAUUGCUUAGGUCAUAAAAGCUUUGGUCACCACUAAAUGGCAUGGGCUGAUCUUGUCCUUGGCUCCAUGUUUCCAAGCAUUCCACCCACUCAGGCGUCGGGCCAUGAAAAGCAGGACCAGGGUUAGGAAUUGGAAAGCGAGCUACUUGGGGUAGGUUCUCAACCUCUGUUUCGGAAUUAGAAUCGUCCGAAGGUCUUCAUCAUGGUGAUCAUUCAAAGGGAUUGGAUGAUCAUUCUUUGGUUCUUCUUCAAACCAACCAGCUAUGACUUCGUUCGGAAGAUACUAGUUGUCGUGGGGAUGGAGUCCAGCCAGUUAUAUGUAAUCGAAACAUGAUAGGCCUUCGAAUAAGUGACCUUAACUCCAAAUUCACACAGAAUAGGGGUAAAGUAAAAUUUUCACAGAUUCUAAGUCUAUAACAUCCUAAUUACAUAUAGUCUUAGUGUAUCCACUUAGCAACUAUCAACUUAAUAAUGAAGAUCCCAUUUUAGUUCUCAAGUAUAACGUACUUAUAGUAAAACCAAAUACUCCUAUAGUAUUUUAAAUUUAAUGUUAUGUUCUACUGUUCUCAUUGUGGUAGGGUUGGUAAGAUUUUAGCAUUGUUGCAACCACACAACUAUACUUAGGCACAUGCUAGUCAACCCUCGGANAGCUAUAUUUCCUAGUUUUGACCAUAUGUCUCUAAGCUCACUUGUCUUGCCCAACAACCAUAAUUCUUUUGUACUGUCCUAGUGACACUGAUUUUAGUAUGAAUGCAGGCAUGUAUACUUACUUAAAUAUUUUAUUAUUUAAAGUAUAAACUCUUGGUCAGAGUAUUUUUAAUCCCUUAUGUAUUUAUAGUUAGUAUAUCUUUUAUGGGUUGAUAUACUUAAUUCACUAUAAACAAUGCUCUGAUACCAAUCUGUCACACCCCAAAACCAAGAACGGCGGAAACGUUCUGGGGCGGAGGACGUCAUGUACAAUAUCACAACAAUGAAAAGUAGUAAACAAGCAACAACAUCAUCCAUUGCAUUAAUAAUAUAAUUUUAAUACAAGUGUAUUCUGAUAUGUAUAAUAGACACUAAUGAAUAAAUCAAAAUGAAAGAUGAGUCUUGAACGAGCUCCAUCUUCCUUAAUCCUUGCAUCGGUACCUGUCUAUGAUGACCUGAGGAUACAAGUAAUUUUGAAAGAGAGUAUCAGCUUUGAAGCUGGUGAGAUCAUAAGUAUUUUAGUGUCUUAAUUUGUAUGUAAAUACUUGUAUGUAUUUGAAAUGUAAGUAUUUGUAUGUAUACGAAUUGUAAGUAUUGAAAAUGUAAAUGAACUGUAUGCAUGAAAAUGUUUGUAAAACAACUGUAAAUGUUUGAAAAGUCCUAGAAAUCCCUAUGAUUCCUAUUAGUAACAAAAGGAGUCUUCUACCAAGACUUUAACUGCUCUGAAUGCAGUCUUCUACCAGGACCUAACUGUUCUGAAUGUAGUCUUC
rnacentral:lncRNA from 1 species